GAAUUUUCAAAAUUUUCCUUUUCCUUAAAUUAACAGUCUUCCGUCUCACUCUUCGCAUUUUCCCCUUCAUUUCUUUCCUCAGUCUCACUCUCCAUCUCUCCACUGUCAUAUCACCACCACCACCACCACUACCACCGGACGAAACUUCUUCUUCUCAUCAAUCAUCAAACGAGACUUCAAAACGAAACUUAUUUUUCUACCACGAUAACCAGAAUCACCUUCGUCUUCGUCUUCUCGGGGUGAACUUGCUCGCACUGGUGCAGGGUAAUAUGCGUAUUCAGUUAUUUGAUUCCACUAGUUUCUUGAGUUCAUUUUCUCAAUGUUUACGGCCUCACUAUAAAAAAAUGUCAAACAGAGUUUUCCUCCUACUCCAACUAGUAAGUGUCAUCCAGUUUAUUACAGUGGUGAAUAACUAUUGGAUGUCAGAUGCUACAUUAAAUGGAAGGUAAGAAUGAUCCCUCCUCGCAUUUCACAUGUGGCUAUGAUGGAGGAGGGAAUGGGAAACGUUCAUGUUGCCCUCAGAUACCUACAUGAAGCCCUCAAAUUCAAUGAGAGGCUAUUGGGUGCUGACCAUAUACAGGAUGCUGCAGCAUGGCUCGAAUAUUUUGAAUCAGAAGUCUUAGAACAGCAAGAAGCCGCUCGUAAUGGAUCAGGCUCCCAUGUUGCAUCAGCAUUGUCCUUUGGUCACGCCGAGGAAUUCUCGCUAGGUGCUUCCCUUCUAUAACAACUUUGGGCCUGUGCUUUUUGCGCCUUUUCUUUGGCAGUGAUGGGGUUGCGUUCAGGUCAUAUCUUCCACUUCCUGUAUAUAACGUUUAUUUGGGCAUGUUUAGAGCUUCGUCAAGGGUCCUUAAGUUUGUGCGUUGUCGCAAUGGUAUUUCCAUGAUCUUGCUCAAAUCAACCUCCUUAUCUUUACGACCAACUCUGGUUGGUUUUCUUGAAGACAUGUCAACAGAUGGAAAGUAGUCCCACUAAUGGAAGUAUCACAAUUACUGCAGCUGAGAAGCAAAGACCUGCAAAGGCAUGCUGGAGUUUUCUUCUCUCUUUUAGUUCAGCUAGGUAUGUAGGACAAUUAAAAUGAAGAACUCAAGGUAAAAUAAAAUACCUACGCAUCUACUUUUUGACACUAUAACUAAUGUAAAAGGUCUACAUAUGUGAUUCGAAGGGAAGCUAAGGUAUGGAACUGUGUGCUUGAGAAGGCAGAAAAGAUGGCAGGAAUUGAGAAAGGAAGCAUCAGAGAUAUUGUACUGAUUCAGACUCUUCCCGUUGCCUUGCAAAUGGAUGAAAUCCUCUAUGAUUUACGUGAUCACUCAGUUGGGUUGAAUUGUGGCAAGUCAGAAACUCUCUUUGUACCCUGCAUAGCUAUUAGAGAUAUGCUUAAAAGCACAUCUGAUAUGUAAAUUCGAUUGUGAUCCUACACAGGCAUGGAGAGCAAGGCAUUUUGCAGGCAUGGAGUGUAAGGACACCCAAAAUCUUGAGGUAUACAAUAGUUUGAGUUAUUACUGGUAGUAUUUCCUUCUUCCCUCACUCGUUCUAUCAACUGAUAAAGCUAAUCAUGAUGUUGACUGUAAAAUAGAUUGAGUCCUCUAUCCAAUGAUAACUAGCUACAACUGAAUUGCUAGAAGAUUUCAUGACAUCAUUACAGUUUUCAGAUAUGCAGUUAAAUUUAAGUGAUUGAAUUGCAGAUGAUUACAAAAUGAGGUAAGGAUUUAGAGAUUUACCUUAGAAGUUUCGUUUAUUCUGAAUCUCAAGUUGAUUUUCCUGCUUUACAGUACCCAUGAUUUGAGAAUUUGAUUUGAGCAUUUUUUUUUUCAGAUUUGAAAUUUAUCUUAUUUCAGGUGGAGAUAUGAUGAAUUACCUGGGGUAAAUAUAGAUCUCAAAUUGAUUUUGGAACUCUGUUUUUGUAGUUGAUUGUGAUCUCAAAUUAGUUUGAAUGUAAAGAGAGAUCUGAAAUUGAUUUUUGAACUGUUUUUGUAGUUGAUUGUUAUCUCAAGUUGAUUUGAAUGUAAGUUUACUUUUGAUUUUCCUGAAGGAAAUCAAACAACUCUGUUUUUGUAGUUGAUUGUGAUCGAUUUUUCUGAA